rnacentral:rRNA from 1 species
GUAUUAGUUAAGCUCUUGAAACCCAAAGAAUUUGGCGGUAUUUUAGUCUUUUCAGAGGAACCUGUUCUUUAAUCGAUAAUCCACGAUUUUAUCCACUUACAUUUGUUUUCAAUUUUUAUACCUCCGUCAUAAGAAUAUUUUUUUAGAACAAAUUUUCUUAAUUGUUAAAUACAAAUAUGUCAGGUCAAGGUGAAGUUUAUAUGUAAGUAGUAAUGGGUUACAAUAAAAUUAUUUAUACGAAUAUUUAAAUAUAUAUUUAAAUUAAAGGUGGAUUUGUAAGUAAAUUUAAUUAGUUAAUUUUUUUGAUUUUAGCUCUAAAAUAUGCACACAUCGCCCG